GACGAACGCUGGCGGCGUGCUUAACACAUGCAAGUCGAACGGAAAGGCCCCGUUUUUGUUACUCGAUUGGCGAACGGGUGGGUAACACACACGUAACCUGCCCUUCACUUCGGGAGGGCUUCAGUAAACUGAGGCUAAUACCUGCUAGGAAGCCUUUCUUCCUGGUGGGGGGUGGAAAGCUUCGGGGGGUUUGGGGGGACUGGCUGCUUAUCUGCUUGUUGGUGGGGUGGUGGCUUACCAACGCAUUGACGGGUAGCCGGCCUGGCAGGGCGACCGGCCACAUUGGGGCUGAGGUAAGGCCCAGACCCCUACCGGGGGGAACAGGGGGGAAUAAUGCCAAAUGGGCGGAAGGCCGGUGCAGGAACGCCGCGGGGGGGAUGACGGGCUUUGGGUUGUAAAACGCUUUCAGCAGGGGAGGAGCCUGUGGUGACGGUAACUGGAGAAGAAGCACCGGCUAACUACGUG
rnacentral:rRNA from 1 species